rnacentral:rRNA from 1 species
AUUGAACGCUGGCGGCAUGCCUUACACAUGCAAGUCGAACGGCAGCAUGAUCUAGCUUGCUAGAUUGAUGGCGAGUGGCGAACGGGUGAGUAAUACAUCGGAACGUGCCCUGUAGUGGGGGAUAACUAGUCGAAAGAUUAGCUAAUACCGCAUACGACCUGAGGGUGAAAGUGGGGGACCGCAAGGCCUCAUGCUAUAGGAGCGGCCGAUGUCUGAUUAGCUAGUUGGUGAGGUAAAGGCUCACCAAGGCGACGAUCAGUAGCUGGUCUGAGAGGACGAUCAGCCACACUGGGACUGAGACACGGCCCAGACUCCUACGGGAGGCAGCAGUGGGGAAUUUUGGACAAUGGGGGCAACCCUGAUCCAGCAAUGCCGCGUGUGUGAAGAAGGCCUUCGGGUUGUAAAGCACUUUUGUCCCGGAAAAGAAAUCGCACUUAACUAAUAUUAAG